UAAAGUAGAGGUCGCGUUGAUCAAGAGUACCGGUGCCGUAUGCGGCAGGCGCAGAGGAUGGGCCGGGAAAGGGUGAGACGCCGAAGAGGAAGCUUUCGCUGCAGGCUUUUCUCUGGGCGCAGGAUGAAGAAUUCUGCGACUGUCAUCCGUGCGGAUGGAGAGCUACUGA
rnacentral:ncRNA from 1 species